UUUCACAGCUCUUAUAAGAUGCCAUUUUAAUGAAACAAAUGUCCCCGAGUUGUAUACUACCAGGAUUUCACUCAUCUCUCCUUUUCUAGGAUCUCCCAUCAAAAAUAAAUUUGGCGUUUCCCUGGCAGCCUAGCAUUGCGCGUGGGAUCGAUUGCUGCUGAGUCAUUCUCCGGCCUGGAUAAAGCCACCCACCUCCCCCUACACCCUGACAACUGCCAGUGCCCCAUCCACACCAGGGUAAGGUUCACCGGCAACCAGAUAGCUCAGCUCAAUAAUGCAUGAGGGCACGCCAUGAGCUCUGCUGCCGGGGCACCGGGGGACCCAGGCCUCAGCCUCCCCAUUACGGCAGCAAAUGCAAAGACCCAAGAGAAAUGCUGGGAAAGACGCGACAGAAAACUAUUUUUGGCAGUGCUGGGAUUGAACCUAGGACUUCUCCCUUGCUAGUUUCUGCAGGAGUACGGGCCAUUCACAGAAGCCACAGAAGCCCGUUCAACUGGAUGUCGCUAGGGGCCACGUGGCUUGUGACCCACCUGCAUUCAGGGGCAUCUUCCAAGGCUGCAAGGAUGGUGCCGGGGACCAGCAGCCCCCACAGCUCCGCAGCACUCAAAACCAGGAAAGAUGGGUCCCCACACUGUCCCCCAGACAGCGAGAAGCAGGUAACACAGGUGGCACAGCAGGUGCAUCCAGGGGGUGCCCACAGCAGGGGAUCUGUUCCAGCCUGGUCUACACAGGGUGGGGCACGUAUGACCCUCGGAUGUGUGUUAGGGCUGGGUAGGGAGGUGAGGGGUGGCCCCGGUGCAGGAGAGGCAGGAGAUGGAGCUGCAGUGCAGGACCUGGUGGCAGGUGACCUAGCCCUGGGUUGGGGGCAUUGGGGCCAGCUCUGGGCCACCCCAAAGCAGGGGGAGGUGGGGCCCAGGAUGGGGGGAGUUUGCAGCACAAAAGGCAGCUCAUGCAGGAGGGUGCUGGUCUCCUCAGCAGUCACACUGAGCACUUACAACAGACAUCUGGCCUCUUGGUUCUGGGGCCAGGAGCCUGUAGUCCAGAGUUGGCUGGGCAGGAACCCACUGCGGGCCCGAGGCAGGAUCUGUCCCUCUCCCCUCCCCCGGGCCUGGUCUCACCGGCUCUCCUUGUCAUCCUGGGUUAUGUGGUAUCUGUGUGUCUGUUUGUUCUCCUUAAAAGGACACUGGACACAGAUGAGGAUUCGUCCAAAGCCAGCACUGUGUCACUGCAAUGCUCAUGCUGACAUCUAGUAGGACCCUGUUUCCAAACAACAUCUCACUCUGAGGCUCCUGGUGGAUCUGAAUUUGGGGGACGCCAUUCAAUCCAGGGCAGGGGGAAUGUGGAACGAGCAGAGGCCAGAGCCAUAGAGGUGGGGUGUGAGGUCCCCCAGUGGCUGGUGCCUCCUUGAGGGCUCCUGGCCCUGCAGGUCCUGGCCAGCUCUUCAUGACCCGG
rnacentral:lncRNA from 1 species